GAAGAUUUGGGAUGGCACCCAGCAUCCUCUGAAUAAUCUGGAAUCAACUCCUCCUCUCCGGGCUGUCACAGGUCUCACAUCCUUCGCCCUCUAAGGACUCAUCCAUGAGGGCUUCACCCUGAUGAUGUGACCUAAUCUUGAUCUUCUUCCAGGGGCCCCACCUCUCAACUGCACAGGGCCCUGGUGGCCGCUCGGCACAGCCGUCCUCAGCGUGGAGCGUCCAUCUCUGCCUGCAAGGUGCUGCUGCUGUUGCUCCGUCUCAAUGAGC